rnacentral:rRNA from 1 species
CCUACGGGGGGCAGCAGUGGGGAAUAUUGGACAAUGGGUGGAACCCUGAUCCAGCCAUGCCGCGUGUGUGAAGAAGGCCCUCGGGUUGUAAAGCACUUUCAGUGAGGAAGAACGCCUGGUGGUUAAUACCCAUCAGGAAAGACAUCACUCACAGAAGAAGCACCGGCUAACUCCGUGCCAGCAGCCGCGGUAAUACGGAGGGUGCGAGCGUUAAUCGGAAUUACUGGGCGUAAAGCGCGCGUAGGUGGCUUGAUAAGCCGGUUGUGAAAGCCCCGGGCUCAACCUGGGAACGGCAUCCGGAACUGUCAAGCUAGAGUGCAGGAGAGGAAGGUAGAAUUCCCGGUGUAGCGGUGAAAUGCGUAGAGAUCGGGAGGAAUACCAGUGGCGAAGGCGGCCUUCUGGACUGACACUGACACUGAGGUGCGAAAGCGUGGGUAGCAAACAGGAUUAGAUACCCUUGUAGUC